GACGAACGCUGGCGGCGUGCUUAACACAUGCAAGUCGAACGGAAAGGCCCUGCUUGCAGGGUGCUCGAGUGGCGAACGGGUGAGUAACACGUGGGUGAUCUGCCCCUUACUUUGGGAUAAGCCUUGGAAACUGGGUCUAAUACUGGAUAGGACCAUGCUGUAGGUGGUGUGGUGGAAAGAUUAGUUUCGGUAAGGGAUGAGCUCGCGGCCUAUCAGCUUGUUGGUGGGGUAAUGGCCUACCAAGGCGUCGACGGGUAGCCGGCCUGAGAGGGUGGACGGCCACAUUGGGACUGAGAUACGGCCCAGACUCCUACGGGAGGCAGCAGUGGGGAAUAUUGCACAAUGGGCGCAAGCCUGAUGCAGCGACGCCGCGUGGGGGAUGACGGCCUUCGGGUUGUAAACUCCUUUCAGCCAUGACGAAGCCCUUGUGGUGACGGUAGUGGUAGAAGAAGCACCGGCUAACUACGUG
rnacentral:rRNA from 1 species